rnacentral:rRNA from 1 species
UAGGAAUCUCCACAAUGGACGCAAGUCUGAUGGAGCAACGCCGCGUGAGUGAAGAAGGUUUUCGGACCGUAAAGCUCUGUUGUUGGUGAAGAAGGAUAGAGGUAGUAACUGGCCUUUAUUUGACGGUAAUCAACCAGAAAGUCACGGCUAACUACGUGCCAGCAGCCGCGGUAAUCGUAGGUGGCAAGCGUUGUCCGGAUUUAUUGGGCGUAAAGCGAGCGCAGGCGGAAGAAUAAGUCUGAUGUGAAAGCCCUCGGCUUAACCGAGGAAUUGCAUCGGAAACUGUUUUCUUGAGUGCAGAAGAGGAGAGUAGAACUCCAUGUGUAGCGGUGGAAUGCGUAGAUAUAUGGAAGAAUACCAGUGGCGAAGGCGGCUCUCUGGUCUGCAACUGACGCUGAGGCUCGAAAGCAUGGGUAGCGAACAGGAUUAGAUACCCUGGUAGUCCAUGCCGUAAACGAUGAGUGCUAAGUGUUGGGAGGCUUCCGCCUCUCAGUGCUGCAGCUAACGCAUUAAGCACUCCGCCUGGGGGAGUACGACCGCAAGGUUGAAAC